AUGGGUCUUGUUGAAAAGAGUCCAAAGAGUUUUCAUUUGCAUAGACAACAACUUCAAAAGCAAGAGUUCAAAGGUGUUCCAAAAGGGUUCAUGGCAAUAAAAGUAGGUCAAGGAGAAGAUCAACAAAGGUUUGUUGUUCCGGUUAUGUACUUCAAUCAUCCUCUUUUCAUUCAACUAUUGAAAGAGGCAGAAGAAGAAUAUGGAUUUGAUCAAAAAGGAACUAUAACUAUUCCUUGUCAUGUUGAAGAAUUCAGAAACGUUCGUGGUUUGAUUGAUAGAGCCAAAAAUCUUCACCAACAUGUUGGUUGUUUUGGUUUAUGA